rnacentral:rRNA from 1 species
CCUACGGGCGGCAGCAGUGAGGAAUAUUGGUCAAUGGACGAGAGUCUGAACCAGCCAAGUAGCGUGAAGGAUGACUGCCCUAUGGGUUGUAAACUUCUUUUAUAUGGGAAUAAAAUGUUCCACGUGUGGGAUUUUGUAUGUACCAUAUGAAUAAGGAUCGGCUAACUCCGUGCCAGCAGCCGCGGUAAUACGGAGGAUCCGAGCGUUAUCCGGAUUUAUUGGGUUUAAAGGGAGCGUAGGUGGAUUGUUAAGUCAGUUGUGAAAGUUUGCGGCUCAACCGUAAAAUUGCAGUUGAAACUGGCAGUCUUGAGUACAGUAGAGGUGGGCGGAAUUCGUGGUGUAGCGGUGAAAUGCUUAGAUAUCACGAAGAACUCCGAUUGCGAAGGCAGUUCACUGGACUGCAACUGACACUGAGGCUCGAAAGUGUGGGUAUCAAACAGGAUUAUAUACCCGAGUAGUC